GGCGCUAUCGUCUAAUGGCUCAGGACACCGCUCUUUCAAGGCGGUAAUACGGGUUCGAUUCCCGUUGGCGCUACCA
rnacentral:tRNA from 1 species